rnacentral:lncRNA from 1 species
UUUUUUUUUGUACAGCCAAAUCUCGCGAGAGCGUCUGAGUAGCAGAGACAACAUUACUUUUGCCUUUUAGGGGAAAAUGCCAAACCAAGAUCCAUUAUUUUACUAACGGAUUGGAUUGAUCCUUUGAAUUCCGUGUAUAUGUUUUGUAUAGGCUAUAUGAUAUUAAUGUGAGAAUACUUAUCAUUUAAAAGGUUCACAGUGUGGACCAAACCGAGGACCCCGUACCGAACGGUUCAGUAUGAAUACGUGUACCAUUUCACCCCUACAACCUAUGUACAAUUGCACAGUUGGUUAGGGCUUGUAACACCAUUUUGUAGCGAUUACACCCAAGAAGACUUGAGGCUGUGAAGCUACAAGGUUGGC